rnacentral:lncRNA from 1 species
CCCCGAGAUAUAGUGCCCGGAUCACUGUCCAGGUACCGGCGCCUGCUCGCCCUAUAGAUCCGAAGGGAUGCGAGCGGGAUAUUCUUGCCUCAGACCUCACAUCUCAACGUAAGCGGGAUUAACCACCGUCCUUACGCCGCCGCCGCUACCUCGAUAGGCGAGAUUAACCACCGUCCCUGCCAGGCGCAUGGCGUCUCAAAAUAUUAUGUAAAAAUAUUAUUUCAAUGGUUUUCAAAAGUAUUUUCAGCAUACAUAGAUCCAUCACUUCAAUCCGAGUCCCCGACUCAUCUCAACCACUGUCCCUUUAUAACUCAGUUUCCAAAUACCAAAAGUCUAUCAUUCCUCAUCUCAUAUACCAAUCAUCCUUCACCUAACGUCAAACCAUUCUCAGCACGCCAGAAACCUAGGCCUCCGUUUUCUAAUUUACCUUAAAAUCAUGUACUAGAGCCCUUAAUUUAUAUCCCAUGUUCUAAUACUCAAAACUAGGCCCAAACGUCUUAAAAUGCUAUUAUAGAAGCUUACAACCUUGUUGAAAAGGCAAAAUAGUUGAAAACAAAUAAAUUUUUGAGAAACAGGACGUGUGCACCCGCACAUAUCAGAAGUAAUGAAAUUCUG